rnacentral:rRNA from 1 species
GGGCUGCUCCUAGUACGAGAGGACCGGAGUGGACGAACCUCUGGUGUUCCGGUUGUCACGCCAGUGGCAUUGCCGGGUAGCUAUGUUCGGAAAAGAUAACCGCUGAAAGCAUCUAAGCGGGAAACUUGCCUCAAGAUGAGAUCUCACUGGGAACUUGAUUCCCCUGAAGGGCCGUCGAAGACUACGACGUUGAUAGGCUGGGUGUGUAAGCGUUGUGAGGCGUUGAGCUAACCAGUACUAAUUGCCCGUGAGGCUUGACCAUAUAACACCCAAACA